UACCUGGUUGAUCCUGCCAGUAGUCAUAUGCUUGUCUCAAAGAUUAAGCCAUGCAAGUCUAAGUACGAGCUCUCGUACAGUGAAACUGCGAAUGGCUCAUUAAAUCAGAAAUGGUUCAUUUGAUCGUA
rnacentral:ncRNA from 1 species